rnacentral:rRNA from 1 species
AGUGAACGCUGGCGGUAGGCCUAACACAUGCAAGUCGAACGGCAGCACAGUAAGAGCUUGCUCUUACGGGUGGCGAGUGGCGGACGGGUGAGGAAUACAUCGGAAUCUACUUUUUCGUGGGGGAUAACGUAGGGAAACUUACGCUAAUACCGCAUACGACCUACGGGUGAAAGCAGGGGAUCUUCGGACCUUGCGCGAUUGAAUGAGCCGAUGUCGGAUUAGCUAGUUGGCGGGGUAAAGGCCCACCAAGGCGACGAUCCGUAGCUGGUCUGAGAGGAUGAUGAGACACAGUGGAACUGAGACACGGUCGAGCCUCCGACUGGGGGCACCAGUGGGGAGUAGUGGAGAAUGCGCGCGGGCCUGCUCCCGCUUUAGUGCGUGAAUGAAGACGGCCUGCUAAUUCUCAGUUUCUUUGGCGGGAACAAAAAAACAGCCAGUGAAUACCUCGCUGUUAGGAGGGGAGGCAAAGAAUCGGAACAGGCCACGUUCGUG